CCGACGCCGCCCGCCCCGCUGCGCCGCCCCUGCCCGGCCGGCCGAGCUAUGACGGACGCCAGCAACAGGAAGGAGGGCUUCAAGAAAUGCCGGAGCGCCACUUUCAGCAUCGAUGGCUACAGCUUCACCAUCGUUGCAAAUGAAGCUGGAGACAAGAAUGCUAGACCACUUGCCCGCUUCUCCCGGUCCAAGUCUCAGAACUGUCUGUGGAACUCCUUCAUUGAUGGGCUCACAGGGAAUGUCAAAGAGAAGCCACGGCCAACGAUUGUCCAGGAUCCCCGACCUCCAGAAGAAAUCCUAGCAGAUGAAUUGCCACAGCUGGAUAGCCCAGAAGCCUUGGUGAAGACAUCCUUCAGGUUUGGUGGAUGAAAACUCAGUUUGUUUCUCCUAAUCUGUUUGGAGAGUUGUUUUAACCCACUAGGAUGCAUAGUCAGCAUGGCCAACACAUUACUUCAUUUCUUUACACGGAGGAAAUUAGAAUUGAUGAAGGAGUGUUGGAGUCAAUGCUAGCUGGAUUUCUGGCUGCACUUCCUGAAUGUAGUGAAGACCAUAGCAGUAGUUAACUGGCUGUUAGUAUUUGAUUGCAUUUAAAUGCCGAGGGAAAGGACUUACUGAUGUUAGUCGUUUGAAUUGGAUUAAUGAGUCUUUUGCUUCCAAUGAGGAUGAUGCAUCUAUAUAAAUGCACAGAGAAGUAUGUGGUCGGAUUUCUUCAGCCCUAAGUCGUUAGAGUCUUUUGCUGGGAAGGUUUUCUGGUUUUGAGGAAUACAAGAGCUACUGCUGACUGAAAGUCAGUGAGAGUCUUCUCGUAUUGGUUUGCAGGUGCCUGUCUACUCUGUUCUUGUUCAUUGUUUAGUCUUGUGUCUCCUUGGACAGACUUCUUUUAUUUCAUUGUACUCUUAUUUU
rnacentral:lncRNA from 1 species